GAUGAACGCUGGCGGCGUGCCUAAUACAUGCAAGUCGAGCGAACAGAUGAGGAGCUUGCUCCUCUGACGUUAGCGGCGGACGGGUGAGUAACACGUGGAUAACCUACCUAUAAGACUGGGAUAACUUCGGGAAACCGGAGCUAAUACCGGAUAAUAUAUUGAACCGCAUGGUUCAAUAGUGAAAGACGGUUUUGCUGUCACUUAUAGAUGGAUCCGCGCCGCAUUAGCUAGUUGGUAAGGUAACGGCUUACCAAGGCGACGAUGCGUAGCCGACCUGAGAGGGUGAUCGGCCACACUGGAACUGAGACACGGUCCAGACGCCUACGGGAGGCAGCAGUAGGGAAUCUUCCGCAAUGGGCGAAAGCCUGACGGAGCAACGCCGCGGGAGUGAUGAAGGUCUUCGGAUCGUAAAACUCUGUUAUUAGGGAAGAACAAAUGUGUAAGUAACUAUGCACGUCUUGACGGUACCUAAGCAGAAAGCCACGGCUAACUACGU
rnacentral:rRNA from 1 species